rnacentral:lncRNA from 13 species
CAAAAAAGGUGAAAGACAAAAGACUAAUUGUUUGAAAAGCUAAGUCUUCACUCUAUCAAUGAGCAAAGGUUUUUGCGUUUUUAAAAAAUUUUUUAUGAUAAUUUUGGUUAAAUGAAUGACUUAUGGUGACCUGGAAUUUUAUUUUUUAAUGUCAAGUGUUUUAAACCUUUAACAUAUUUGAUAGGCUUCCUAAAAUUUAAUUUCAGCUUCUAAAUGGUCUUUCCUGACCUCUAACUUUGGGAUACUACAGAGGGCCCCUGAAACAUCCAAAAGAGAGGUAACAGGAUUAUCUGACAUGUUAAGUUACAUGGAAACCACUGUCAAAAUAAAAAAAAAAAAAACUUUUUCUAGCUCAUCCUUUGAUCUAUUUGACUUUAGAUGGGUUGGUUUAUGGGGAUUCUGGAUAAGGAGCAUACUUCAAACUCUUGGCAUUAUCCUCCCAAGAGUCAGAAUAGUAGUCUACCUGUGUGCUGCAUUCUGUCAGUUUUAACUAUUUGCUUGCAGUGAUCUUUAGAAUGUCAAGUGGUCUCUCUUCAACCAGAAUGACAAGAGCUGAAGAAAUGUGUGAUCAUGAGGAUGCCAUAAUCUAUGCUGAUAAUGGAAACCCAAAAUGAUGGUAACUGAGAGUGGUGCUAAGGCCCUAAGUUUUGGUCAUACUGUCACCUACCUGCUGAAAAAGGGGGAAUUUUUGCUACAAAAUUGCAGGAGUCCAUUGUUUUUGGACUGAGCUCAUGCACUAGGCUCCAACAGACCAGCACAAACUAAAAUGAGUUGAUCAUGUUAAAUGUGACAUAAUGAAAUGAAUACUUUAAGGUAAAACAUAAGUCCUAGGACAGACAAGAAUUUACUUUCCUCCUGUAAACAGGAUACACUAGCAUAAGGAAGUACCCUUUACUCAGUCCUUGUUCCCACCUUGCAAAACCUGCUAUUGUACUGUUUCCCAGUAGUUUUAAGACUAGUGGUGAUAGUGACAUCAGUGACUAAAGUUUUGGUCAAUCUCUCAAAGGUAAAAAAAAUUACCAAAAGGGGGAAAUUGGUAAAUGAAGUUUAACCUAAAGCCACCUUCUUGCAUAACUUAGGUUCAGCCUAAAGGUUUUCUGUACAUCAUGAACUAUAACAAGUGCAAGUGUAAACAGACCAUAGCCUACACUUGUGCCAAUCACUAAGUUUUGACCAAUGAGAAGUACCCAACUGUUCCAACUCUUCAAAUAAGGCAAAUGCCAAGCUGUAACCAACCGAGCUGUUUUUGUACCUCACUCUCAUUUUCUAUAGGUCAUUUUCUUUUCCUGACCAUAAAUCUUCCAUCAUGUGGCUGCACUGGAGUCUCCGAGCCUUCUCUGGCUCAGAUGGCUGCCUGACUCGUUGAUCAUUCAUUGCUCAAUUAAACUCCUUUAAAUUUAAUUAGGCUGAAGUUUUUCUUUUAUUACUAUCAAUACCACACUCUGGAGAUUAAAAACAAGAUAAUAUUAAAAUCCAGAUUUGAUAACAAUUUUAAGUAGAAACUCCUUUUUAAACAGGACGCAUUGUUUAAAGCAGUAUGUUCUUUACUGUGGAUGUUAAGUAACCUUUUCUCUUAAAAAUGUCUCUUGGACAAAUUUAGUAUCUGAUAUAUUUUUUUCUGAGAUUGAGAUACAUUAAUUCAAAAACUUAAUCUAAUGAGAAGUAAACAAAAGAAAUAGCUAGGAAUAGAUGAUGUAUGCUGCAUGUUAAACUAUAAAAACUCAUGUGUAUCACAAUAUGAUCUUUCACUAAGAAAUAAUGAAACUGUGGACAUCAUAUAUGUAUUUAUUUUUUUUUCAGCAGACAAAAAUAAAAUUCCCAAAUAGAAUAAGCUGCUUGGUUUG